rnacentral:rRNA from 1 species
GACGAACGCUGGCGGCGCGCUUAACACAUGCAAGUCGAGCGAGAACCCACCUUCGGUGGGGAAAGCGGCGAACGGGUGAGUAACACGUGAGUAAUCCACCCUCGGUACCGGGAUAGCCCGGGGAAACCCGGAUUAAUACCGGAUGGCCCAACAGCUCUUCGGGGCGGUUGGAAAAGGUAGCUUCGGCCUCCGACCGAGGACGAGCUCGCGGCGGAUUAGCUUGUUGGCGGGGUAAAGCCCACCAAGGCGACGAUCCGGUAGCUGGUCUGAGAGGACGAUCAGCCACACUGGGACUGAGACACGGCCCAGACUCCGUACGGGAGGCAGCAGUGGGGAAUCUUG